rnacentral:rRNA from 1 species
GACAGAGGUGCCAAGCGUUAGGCGGAAUCACUGGGCUUAAAGCGUGUGUAGGCGGAAUUGUAAGUACCUUGUGAAAUCCCAUGGCUCAACCAUGGAACUGCUCGGUAUACUGCUUUUCUUGAGCCACUUAGGGGCUACCGGAACAAAUGGUGGAGCGGUGAAAUGCGUAGAUAUCGUUUGGAACGCCAAUGGUGAAAACAGGUAACUGGGAGUGUGCCGACGCUGAGACACGAAAGCCAGGGGAGCGAACGGG